rnacentral:tRNA from 1 species
GCGCCCGUAGCUCAGGGGAUAGAGCACUCGCCUUCUAAGCGAUCGGUCGAUGGUUCAAAUCCAUCCGGGCGCG